rnacentral:rRNA from 1 species
CGACCGAGCGACGCCGCGUGUGGGAUGAAGGCCUUCGGGUUGUAAACCGCUGUCAGUGGGGAGGAAAUGUCUGGGGGUUCUCCCCCAGAUUUGACCUAUCCGCAGAGGAAGUCAGGGCUAAGUUCGUGCCAGCAGCCGCGGUAAGACGAACCUGACGAACGUUAUUCGGAAUCACUGGGCUUAAAGGGUGCGUAGGCUGUGCAGAAAGUUGGGUGUGAAAUCCCUCGGCUUAACCGAGGAACUGCGCCCAAAACUACUGUGCUUGAGUGAGAUAGAGGUGAGCGGAACUUAGGGUGGAGCGGUGAAAUGCGUUGAUAUCCUAAGGAACACCGGUGGCGAAAGCGGCUCACUGGGUCUCAACUGACGCUGAGGCACGAAAGCUAGGGGAGCGAACGGGAUUAGAUACCCCGGUAGUCCUAGCCGUAAACGAUGAGCACUGGGUUGAAGGGUCCUCCAUAGCCCUUCAGCCGUAGCGAAAGUGUUUAGUGCUCCGCCUGGGGAGUAUGGUCGCAAGGCUG